GUCCAGCUCUCUGCUGUGGUCAGGGAAUGCAGUGGAGGAAGGCCCAAGUGUUUGGGCGCUGCACCCUAUGGGAGACCAGGAUAAGCACCUGGCUCCUGGCUUUGGAUUAGCGCGGUGCGCCGGGUGCAGCGCGCCGGCCACAGCGGCCAUUGGAGGGUGAACCAACGGCAAAAGGAAGACCUUUCUCUCUGUCUCACUCACUGUCCACUCUGCCUGUCAAAAAAAAAAAAAAAAAAAGAUCCAAUUCUGUACCAAUACUAUAAUUUGCUUUUUACAUUCAUACACAAGAGCUACUAGAUGUUACAAGAUAAAGCUAUAUGUAAUAAUAUUGGUAACCCAUAAUAUCAUGAUCUAUGAACUCAGAACUAACAUGAUGUCAUCAAUGCUUUAUUUCCUAACAGAAAUUUCAUUAUCUUAAGUGCAUUCUAUAUUCCUCUCACUCUCUUCAAACCCACUGUUGAUGCUCCUUUCCUGAGCUUAGCAGAUAAUGUAGAUUAUUACUUAAUAUGAAUUGGAUCCCUCAUGAUAUAUGGCCCUCCACUCAAGCCUUCAUCUCCAUCUUACCUAUAUUUCAACAACUCUGAAUAUCCAGCCAAGUGCCUACAUCAUAAAUCACCCUAUGCCUUGACACUCAAUGAUUGGUGCAGAAUGAGUUCCUGGACAUCAAAGCUACAGACAUGACUUCAUGAGCAAGAAUGAACAUGCUUGCUGUGCAUCAGCUUGUAGAUAAUUGCAAAAGAUCAAUAAAAAUAGCUUGCUCUUCA
rnacentral:lncRNA from 1 species